UACAGAGGUCCCAAGCGUUGUUCGGAUUCAUUGGGCGUAAAGGGUGCGUAGGCGGCGCGGUAAGUCGGGUGUGAAAUCUCGGAGCUUAACUCCGAAACUGCAUUCGAUACUGCCGUGCUUGAGGACUGGAGAGGAGACUGGAAUUUACGGUGUAGCGGUGAAAUGCGUAGAUAUCGUAAGGAAGACCAGUGGCGAAGGCGGGUCUCUGGACAGUUCCUGACGCUGAGGCACGAAGGCUAGGGGAGCAAACAGG
rnacentral:rRNA from 1 species